UUUUUUGUGCUUCUUAUUUCCCUUGCUUAUGGUUUUCUGAUUUAUUUUUUAAUCUUUAAUGUUUUGGGUCUUUCGAAGGUGGAGAUUAUUUCUAAUUACUUACAUACAUGAACAAACCAAAAGGACCGAAUUAAGAAAUAUUCCUGAGAUGUUGACUGUUGGUUCAGAUAAUUUGUGUCAACAACUAUUAUUAAUUUUUAUGCUCUCUUCAUCGAAUUCUGAACAGAUUUCUGUACUCACUUCUGGUAGUCUUUCUUCAUGUUCUCUUUUCAGAUUCUGCACAUGCAUGUGAAUAGAACAACUAUGCAAGAGUACACAUAGUGUUGUACCCAGGGUGUUUGAUGAUAUGCCUCAAGCUUUUGAAGUGAAAGUCGCUCAAGGUGGGGAAAAACGGAACUGCUUUGACUAUAAAAGGUUUUAAGUCUCAAAAGAACGACAUUCACGCUCAAUGUGAGGUUUGAAAACAUUGACAAGAAGCUUAUUUGGUUUGAAAACAUUGACAAGAAGCUUAUUUCUUUUGCCAGUCGGAUAUGUGCUCUCAAUCGUAAUUUUUCACUUAGUAAUGAUUAUUGAUUUGCUGGUGAGGUUAAAUACUCUUCCCAUCAUUUUUGUUAUUGUUUCUUGUAUUGAGAUUUUAAUUGAUGAGAAGUGUCCUUUUAUAAUUCUUCUCGGCUUUGCAGCUUAAAGAAGUGGAGAUCUUUUCAGUGAGAAAUUACAUUGGCAUUACAGCAAUGAGUAGUAUUCCUUUCGUAAGGUUCUUUCAUUAUGGAUUUUAUACCAAUUGGGGGUUGAUGCUCCACAUUAUUAGUAUGAGAUAAAUUUUAAAAUAUCCAUCUUUAUCAUAGUAAAGAUGGUUCUAUCUGAAGGUAUUCCAGCUAUUCAUUCCACCAUUUGGAGAAAUUUGCCGAGGGUAGUCAAUUCCUGAGUUAUUACAUUUAAUACAAAUUAUAUCCGACAAUUUACGGAGAUUCUAUUGCAGCUUAUUUGUCUAACUUUCUGUUGACAAGAAAAUUGGAUAAAACUGUAGCUUUUCGGAAAUCAGUAGAUAUUUCCCUUGUGAUAUCUUCUUAAUUUAGUACUAAUUCUUUCAACAAAAUCUUGAUAAAUUGUCGUAUGUCUCCUACUUCCAGGUGAUUUAGUUUCUUUUGUGAGAUCUUUCAACUUGCAUAUGAUUUGAAAGAUGUAGAAUUCUUUGAUGUUACUGCUAAAUUUGCAGUUAAAGAUAAAGGCUAUUGAAACUCAAGGAUUCGGGGGCUGUAGGCCAACUUGUAACUUGGCUCAAAUGGAGAAAGGAAUGUUGAUAUGAACACAGUCGGACAAACCUUAUGAUGGAGUAAGAUCCUUUUUCUCUUGAACCUUUUGCCGCUCCUAGGCUUCAAAAUUGUGAUCUGCAUCACCCAUAUAAUAUUAGCUACCCUUUAACUAAGAUCUGAUCUAAUUAUUCUGUUGGGAAGUUCCUGCGAGUAACUGUUUCUUUAUUCUUCUAUAUCGUUGUACCAGUAUGAACAAGAUGUGUGUGUCUGACUCUGCUUGAGUUAUAUAUUGUCUUUUGUGAUUGGGAGCUUGAACAUGGUUCACAUAUAUUUUGUAUUUGCUCUUUACUUCCAGAACUUUGAAGAAAAAGAGGUAAAGUAAUAAGGAUAAGUUAAAAGUAAAUUUAUAAAAUUUAGCCAAUUAUUUUCGAGCAUUAUAACAAGGAUAAUUCAAAGAAUAAGUUGCAUGUACUUUAACUAUUUGAAGUAGAAGUAAUAAGUUACUAUCUGAAACAUUCAAAACAAUUUGAAACAGAUGUUAUUUGUUAAAAUUCAUUUAAAUUAUGCUUAUAAUCCUACUUUGCAUAUGGCAUCUUUUUGGUGGUGCUUAUUUUUUACGGACUUCUAAGUUAAUGUUUAUAUUCAGAUUACAUGGUUAUCAAUAAGACUUGAGCUAUGUGAUUAUGGCUCCGAAAGUAUGAUCGUUUGCUUAUCCACGUUACCACGAGAAGUAUUUUUCCUUCUCUUUUUUAUCUAUUUUCAUCAUAGAUUCAACUAUUUCUGUCAGAUUCAUCAAUUAAAAGCAUUUUGAUGAUCCAAGCUUAUUAGAUAUGUCUACAAUUUGACAGUACUUUCAAAGUUAUUGUACUCAAGAUGCAUCAUGAACUUAAACCUUAAUUCAACAAAUAGCACCUGUUUGAUGAAAUCUCUCAUUCAGAAUAACAACCGGAAGUCUCAAAUUGUGCAACACUAUCCAGCCUAACAUUUGUUUUUUGAAGAUGACAUAUUCAUGAACUGGUGUAUCACAAGAAUAAGUGGAGAAUCACAAAUAUAUAAGUUCUCUUAGGUUCAUAGAUGUGCUCAAAUUUGUGAAAUUGCUGGUCCUGAUGCUUCUUUAGUUACUUGCUAAGUUGUUGUAUGUUAAUCUAUGUUUCAAUUGACACUAAUAAAUUGCAAUAGGCUGGUUAUGGGAUGAAUGCAAAGGUUUUCUUUGUGGAGAAGAGUUAAGUCGAAAGUGUUCAUAAUACAUAAGUGAUAGAAUGACUUUUCUGUGUGUUGUUCGCUUUAAGUUUCACACAUUCAUAAUUAUUUUACUUUUUUCAUUUUGUGUGGCUUACUUUCUUGAUUGCUUGAUUAUACCGGACAAUUGAACAAACUUGAAGACACUUUAUGGAACUAUAUUACUAUGCUUUCUACCCGUGCCAAAUUCAAGGAUGCCAUAUUUUUUUUGAGAAAUAGAAGAUUGAAAAUAUAGUAACCAUGUGCAUUUAAUUUUGAAAAUAGCAAUUUGCUUAUUUAUAGUCCUGUUGAAUGUUGAGUACGCUAUAAGUGGUUAUAUCUUGUUAUAGGCUCUCUGUAAAAGACUUUAUACCAAAGGAGGAGCCAUGACUGAAAAUUAUUAGCAGAGUAUCAGAAUUGUUCCUAGGGCUUAUCCGUAGUCUCUAAGGAGGUAAUUGUACCACUAUGUACUAAGGAGUUAGUUAUCUGCAAACCUAAGUAGUGGUAAACUUCUAUUCAUUUCUUUAUUCAAUGCAUGUUCUCAAUGUGUCCAUAUAUAUACAUACAAUGCGCACACCUAGAUUAUGGUUUAAUAACUUUGUGUUUGAUUUAUGCAUAGGAAAAAUAUGUAUAGUAACUUUGUGUUUUGCCUUCACUGCUAAUGGAUGGUUCCAAUAUUAUGAAUCUCAAUGUGUUAAGCCAGCUAUCAUCUAUGGGAAGUAAGCCGUCUGAAACCAAUGACCGUCUUUCGGUCCUCAAUAGCUUAAAGCAUGACCAAUGGGUUGUCAGCUGCUUCAGAAUCGCUAGACAUAUCCCCUUUUCUCAUCUUCUUGUUUUACCUUGGAACUUAUUUUAACUGUACAUGCCUGUAGUGAGCUUAUCUUUGUGGCCUCCAGAUCCACACUCAUACCUGUUACUCCAACUUCAAUAAUUUUAUUUAGUGUUGCCCAAGUUCUAUAAUUGUAGGUUCUAACACUUGUAUCGAAUACUACUACUAUAAAAGAAGGCCCAUCACAACAAAGGUUUGUGGAGUGAUCGACUCUAGAAAAGGAUGCACCUUCUUUUUUCCAAUAUGCAAAUAGGUUUUGUCAUGAAACAAGAACAAGCUGAAGAAUGUAUUAAGCAAGCUUUACAUUGUUGGGAGUGCAUAUUUCAUAA